rnacentral:rRNA from 1 species
UGGAGGGGGAUAACUACUGGAAACGGUAGCUAAUACCGCAUAACGUCGCAAGACCAAAGAGGGGGACCUUCGGGCCUCUUGCCAUCAGAUGUGCCCAGAUGGGAUUAGCUAGUAGGUGGGGUAAUGGCUCACCUAGGCGACGAUCCCUAGCUGGUCUGAGAGGAUGACCAGCCACACUGGAACUGAGACACGGUCCAGACUCCUACGGGAGGCAGCAGUGGGGAAUAUUGCACAAUGGGCGCAAGCCUGAUGCAGCCAUGCCGCGUGUGUGAAGAAGGCCUUCGGGUUGUAAAGCACUUUCAGCGAGGAGGAAGGUGGUGAACUUAAUACGUUCAUCAAUUGACGUUACUCGCAGAAGAAGCACCGGCUAACUCCGUGCCAGCAGCCGCGGUAAUACGGAGGGUGCAAGCGUUAAUCGGAAUUACUGGGCGUAAAGCGCACGCAGGCGGUUUGUUAAGUCAGAUGUGAAAUCCCCGGGCUCAACCU